AAGGUUCUCGGAUCGUAGAGCUCUGUUGUUAGGGAAGAACAAGUACCGUUCGAAUAGGGCGGUACCUUGACGGUACCUAACCAGAAAGCCACGGCUAACUACGUGCCAGCAGCCGCGGUAAUACGUAGGUGGCAAGCGUUGUCCGGAAUUAUUGGGCGUAAAGGGCUCGCAGGCGGUUUCUUAAGUCUGAUGUGAAAGCCCCCGGCUCAACCGGGGAGGGUCAUUGGAAACUGGGGAACUUGAGUGCAGAAGAGGAGAGUGGAAUUCCACGUGUAGCGGUGAAAUGCGUAGAGAUGUGGAGGAACACCAGUGGCGAAGGCGACUCUCUGGUCUGUAACUGACGCUGAGGAGCGAAAGCGUGGGGAGCGAACAGGAUUAGAUACCCUGGUAGUCCACGCCGUAAACGAUGAGUGCUAAGUGUUAGGGGGUUUCCGCCCCUUAGUGCUGCAGCUAACGCAUUAAGCACUCCGCCUGGGGAGUACGGUCGCAAGACUGAAACUCAAAGGAAUUGACGGGGGCCCGCACAAGCGGUGGAGCAUGUGGUUUAAUUCGAAGCAACGCGAAGAACCUUACCAGGUCUUGACAUCCUCUGACAAUCCUAGAGAUAGGACGUCCCCUUCGGGGGCAGAGUGACAGGUGGUGCAUGGUUGUCGUCAGCUCGUGUCGUGAGAUGUUGGGUUAAGUCCCGCAACGAGCGCAACCCUUGAUCUUAGUUGCCAGCAUUCAGUUGGGCACUCUAAGGUGACUGCCGGUGACAAACCGGAGGAAGGUGGGGAUGACGUCAAAUCAUCAUGCCCCUUAUGACCUGGGCUACACACGUGCUACAAUGGACAGAACAAAGGGCAGCGAAACCGCGAGGUUAAGCCAAUCCCACACAUCUGUUCUCAGUUCGGAUCGCAGUCUGCAACUCGACUGCGUGAUGCUGGAAUCGCUAGUAAUCGCGGAUCAGCAUGCCGCGAUGAAUACGUUCCCGG
rnacentral:rRNA from 1 species